ensembl:snRNA U6 U6 spliceosomal RNA
GUGCUCACUUCAGCUGUACAUAUACUAAAAAUUGUAUCGAUUCAGAGAUCAGCAUGGCCCCUUGUGCAAGAAUGGCAUGUAGAAGGCAAUGGCUUACUUCAGAUUUUU